rnacentral:rRNA from 1 species
GGGUUGUGAGGUUAAGCGACUAAGCGUACACGGUGGAUGCCCUGGCAGUCAGAGGCGAUGAAGGACGUGCUAAUCUGCGAUAAGCGUCGGUAAGGUGAUAUGAACCGUUAUAACCGGCGAUUUCCGAAUGGGGAAACCCAGUGUGAUUCGACACACUAUCAUUAACUGAAUCCAUAGGUUAAUGAGGCGAACCGGGGGAACUGAAACAUCUAAGUACCCCGAGGAAAAGAAAUCAACCGAGAUUCCCCCAGUAGCGGCGAGCGAACGGGGAGCAGCCCAGAGCCUGAAUCAGUGUGUGUGUUAGUGGAAGCGUCUGGAAAGGCGCGCGAUACAGGGUGACAGCCCCGUACACAAAAAUGCACAUGCUGUGAGCUCGAUGAGUAGGGCGGGACACGUGGUAUCCUGUCUGAAUAUGGGGGGACCAUCCUCCAAGGCUAAAUACUCCUGACUGACCGAUAGUGAACCAGUACCGUGAGGGAAAGGCGAAAAGAACCCCGGCGAGGGGAGUGAAAAAGAACCUGAAACCGUGUACGUACAAGCAGUGGGAGCACGCUUAGGCGUGUGACUGCGUACCUUUUGUAUAAUGGGUCAGCGACUUAUAUUCUGUAGCAAGGUUAACCGAAUAGGGGAGCCGAAGGGAAACCGAGUCUUAACUGGGCGUUAAGUUGCAGGGUAUAGACCCGAAACCCGGUGAUCUAGCCAUGGGCAGGUUGAAGGUUGGGUAACACUAACUGGAGGACCGAACCGACUAAUGUUGAAAAAUUAGCGGAUGACUUGUGGCUGGGGGUGAAAGGCCAAUCAAACCGGGAGAUAGCUGGUUCUCCCCGAAAGCUAUUUAGGUAGCGCCUCGUGAAUUCAUCUCCGGGGGUAGAGCACUGUUUCGGCAAGGGGGUCAUCCCGACUUACCAACCCGAUGCAAACUGCGAAUACCGGAGAAUGUUAUCACGGGAGACACACGGCGGGUGCUAACGUCCGUCGUGAAGAGGGAAACAACCCAGACCGCCAGCUAAGGUCCCAAAGUCAUGGUUAAGUGGGAAACGAUGUGGGAAGGCCCAGACAGCCAGGAUGUUGGCUUAGAAGCAGCCAUCAUUUAAAGAAAGCGUAAUAGCUCACUGGUCGAGUCGGCCUGCGCGGAAGAUGUAACGGGGCUAAACCAUGCACCGAAGCUGCGGCAGCGACGCUGAUGCGUUGUUGGGUAGGGGAGCGUUCUGUAAGCCUGCGAAGGUGUGCUGUGAGGCAUGCUGGAGGUAUCAGAAGUGCGAAUGCUGACAUAAGUAACGAUAAAGCGGGUGAAAAGCCCGCUCGCCGGAAGACCAAGGGUUCCUGUCCAACGUUAAUCGGGGCAGGGUGAGUCGACCCCUAAGGCGAGGCCGAAAGGCGUAGUCGAUGGGAAACAGGUUAAUAUUCCUGUACUUGGUGUUACUGCGAAGGGGGGACGGAGAAGGCUAUGUUGGCCGGGCGACGGUUGUCCCGGUUUAAGCGUGUAGGCUGGUUUUCCAGGCAAAUCCGGAAAAUCAAGGCUGAGGCGUGAUGACGAGGCACUACGGUGCUGAAGCAACAAAUGCCCUGCUUCCAGGAAAAGCCUCUAAGCAUCAGGUAACAUCAAAUCGUACCCCAAACCGACACAGGUGGUCAGGUAGAGAAUACCAAGGCGCUUGAGAGAACUCGGGUGAAGGAACUAGGCAAAAUGGUGCCGUAACUUCGGGAGAAGGCACGCUGAUAUGUAGGUGAAGUCCCUUGCGGAUGGAGCUGAAAUCAGUCGAAGAUACCAGCUGGCUGCAACUGUUUAUUAAAAACACAGCACUGUGCAAACACGAAAGUGGACGUAUACGGUGUGACGCCUGCCCGGUGCCGGAAGGUUAAUUGAUGGGGUCAGCGCAAGCGAAGCUCUUGAUCGAAGCCCCGGUAAACGGCGGCCGUAACUAUAACGGUCCUAAGGUAGCGAAAUUCCUUGUCGGGUAAGUUCCGACCUGCACGAAUGGCGUAAUGAUGGCCAGGCUGUCUCCACCCGAGACUCAGUGAAAUUGAACUCGCUGUGAAGAUGCAGUGUACCCGCGGCAAGACGGAAAGACCCCGUGAACCUUUACUAUAGCUUGACACUGAACAUUGAGCCUUGAUGUGUAGGAUAGGUGGGAGGCUUUGAAGUGUGGACGCCAGUCUGCAUGGAGCCGACCUUGAAAUACCACCCUUUAAUGUUUGAUGUUCUAACGUUGACCCGUGAUCCGGGUUGCGGACAGUGUCUGGUGGGUAGUUUGACUGGGGCGGUCUCCUCCUAAAGAGUAACGGAGGAGCACGAAGGUUGGCUAAUCCUGGUCGGACAUCAGGAGGUUAGUGCAAUGGCAUAAGCCAGCUUGACUGCGAGCGUGACGGCGCGAGCAGGUGCGAAAGCAGGUCAUAGUGAUCCGGUGGUUCUGAAUGGAAGGGCCAUCGCUCAACGGAUAAAAGGUACUCCGGGGAUAACAGGCUGAUACCGCCCAAGAGUUCAUAUCGACGGCGGUGUUUGGCACCUCGAUGUCGGCUCAUCACAUCCUGGGGCUGAAGUAGGUCCCAAGGGUAUGGCUGUUCGCCAUUUAAAGUGGUACGCGAGCUGGGUUUAGAACGUCGUGAGACAGUUCGGUCCCUAUCUGCCGUGGGCGCUGGAGAACUGAGGGGGGCUGCUCCUAGUACGAGAGGACCGGAGUGGACGCAUCACUGGUGUUCGGGUUGUCAUGCCAAUGGCACUGCCCGGUAGCUAAAUGCGGAAGAGAUAAGUGCUGAAAGCAUCUAAGCACGAAACUUGCCCCGAGAUGAGUUCUCCCUGACCCUUUAAGGGUCCUGAAGGAACGUUGAAGACGACGACGUUGAUAGGCCGGGUGUGUAAGCGCAGCGAUGCGUUGAGCUAACCGGUACUAAUGAACCGUGAGGCUUAACCUUACAACGCCGAAG